GCGGCUGCCCCGCUCCAGGCUCUAGCGUGGCGGCCGCUCUGCGUCGAGCACUUCACCCGUCUGCAGAGACGCCCGGUUAGAAGAGCUUUAUAGGACACAGCUGCUGACAAUUGCUGCCUUAAGGCUUUCCAAAAUCUAUCUGACUACACACCAUCUUCACCCAGCUCAGAAAAAGUACCGAUCAGUUCCACCCAGUUCUGUCAGUGCUCAGUGCCUCUGUUUCAUCGUCACUUCAGUGAGAAUGCUUCUCAGAAGGGCUCCAAGAAGCCAAGCUCCAUUGAAUGGACCAUCCAAAAACUGAUGUUCUAGACGUGAAGUUUGUGAUUUUUAUCUUCAACAGACAAAAGGCUUUGCAGCUCUGGGAUUUACUCACAUGCAUCCUACCUGACAUGAGAUGCUGAAAUGCAGUCACACAGUAAAGGAAUCUUCAUUCAGCAUUAAUAUGAAAGGGUAUAUCUCAACCAAAACCAAUGCAGUCUGCUUACAGCAAACCAGGUCUGGAUUUUUCUUGAAGAUUUUGAAAACAUCGGCAUCUAUCAAAGAAGAUACAGAUCUCAGAUUCUCUGUUGUAAGAACACAGUGUUGUUAUGUACUGAAAAUAUAAACUCCCAAGUGAUAGAGAUUACAGACUGGAGACUACCAGUGCUUUUAAGCCUCUUCCAGCAAGAAAUAAAAGAAGGCAGUUGUCAAGAAUCCAAACUACUGGAUACAAUUACAUCACCUGGAGCAUAGAGAUGUGAAGUUUUGAUGAUCUCAUUACCUACUGGUAUCCAUUUGGAGUUACUUGCAGUAAUACCUCACCAUGACAACUUCCUUUGUUGGCAGAAAUGAAAGUUGGGAGGAAAUUUCAUUUGAAUAUUAAUUAUUUCUUAAACAAAUUCACUUAAGAAGAGAACUCUUACUCAUACUGAAUGGAACCGUUUGUAGUGCCUGUAGCUCUGGUGAAAGCUGAGACAUUUAAGCUCUGUCUCUACUGAGAAGAUGCUUCACAUGAUACGCCUUAAAGUCCUGUCUGUGUUAGCAUUCAGACCAGAGACCUAGCUGAAGCAUUCAGGCUUCUUUGGAAAGAGCACGUCUUCUUUGGAAACACAGGCAUCAAAGCGACAGGAAGAGGAAGUGCCUGGUUCUUACCCAGAUCCCGAGUCAGGAUACAGUUGUAGGGCGCACCUGGCCCCGGCAAGAGAAGGCUUAAAAAAGAUGGAGCCUCAGUUGUGAGCUGCAAUACUGGUCAGCAGAAGACUUCUCUCCAGAAUUCCUAUUUGCGUUCCUAGGCCACGCAGGAUUCAUUCAUGCUUCCAAUAAAACUUAGAAACAUCCGUAGCCCUAGUUUCAGAAAAUAGUUGCUUAACUCUAUCUCUGUCACAGAACAGGAAACAAUUAGUGUGGAUCAGUGAUAUGGAAAAGCUCUACUAAUCUUCAAAUUUACUCUGAUGAUUUCUUGGAAAGAUACUUUGCAGAACAAGAAAUAUACAUGUACCUCAAAAAAACUUUAAAUUGAAAGACUUCAUAAAACAUCCUAUUUCGGCAGCUUUCUUUUGAUGUUGGCAGAAAAAUAUAAACAGCCAUGCACAUACAGGGGAAGGAAGAGACCACACUACAGUUUGGGGGAGUUCAAUUAAUCAUUCACAGUUUUAUCAUAAAGUAAUGCAAUUUUGUAGACUUUCAUUCCUUACCAACGUUACAGAGUGUUUGUUGCAAGACCAUCUUUCUAGUUUCAAGGCAUGCUUCAGGUAGAUUUCUGUAACAAUGUAAAAGGUGAAAAUGUAUUUUUCUCUUAUUCACAUGUAAGCGCAAAAUCAGCUUUUCUCUCAAGCACCACAGAUAAUCAUGAACAGCUCAAAAUCUCAUAAACGCACAUGGGUUGUACAUUUCAAGAAAAGCUAAAGUGAGGGAGAGAUAAAUGAGUGAGAGAGAAAUGUUUUAUGUUGCUUGUUUUUUAUUUUAUUGCUAGAAACUGCUGUCUCUUUACAUUUGCUUCUCCUGGAAAAGAGGUUGCACUCAGUGGCUAAAUCUGUCCUCUCAAGGGAGCACACAUUACUACUGCAGCAGCAGAGGUGGAGGCAGCCCAGGCCCAGAAACUUCCUUCAGAUGAGUAUUUCCCAAUUGAGAAAAGCCCCAAAAACAUUAAAGACAGAGCUACCUUAUAUCCAUGGAGCUCUACUGCAGAGACGAAGAAAGGAAUACAGUUCUGAAAAGUACAGAAUCUGAGCAACUGGCCCAGAACGAAAAAGAAAAUUUUAAGGUGAGUUGCAGAGACAGAUUCUACUGGAAGCAUCCAAAUAAUUUCAUUUAGCUACAAAUGCUGUGGCAUUUAAUCAGAAUAUGACAUAAAUAAUAGACUAGCCUUUGCUCAGUCAUGAACAAAUGUUGUCAUCAGAUGUGUGCUCAGGGACACAUAAUACACCUGAACAUCACCCCAGAUUUGGAGACAAAAGUCUGAUAAGGUUUCAGAGCUUUGGUUGAGAUGUUUAUGUGGAUUACUUUUAUUUACAAGUCUUUCAGUCUUGUUUUGUUUUGUGCUGGAGUGAUCAAAAAUACCUUGCAAUUUGCUAUUCUCAUCGUGUGUUAGUAGUUGAGCCCCCAUUAUUAGGUAGAACUGGAGAGUGACUAAAAUAAUAAUACAAAAUCUGGAUUAAACAAAAAUCCCUCCAAGGACAGCGGGUAGAAUAGGUGGGCAGGUCUAACAGAUACUGACUGUUAGAACUCAGUAUGCUGUCUCUUCUACUAUCUAGUUUCAUCACUCUCUUGAAAUGAGUCUAGCUAGCUGUAGCAAUUGUUGGGCAGCAUAUCCCACAAGUAUAUAAGUCACAGCUAUUUAACAUGUGCAUUCUCCAGGAGUCGGGACAGGAUUUGCAUGGGUAAAGUGCAAUCUAUGUCACACACUCCAGCUAAUGACCUAAAGGACUGUGAUCUCAGAACAGAAGAAGGGAAAAUUAAUCUUCACUACAGUUGUUCCAUUUCUCAAACUUCUUUUCAGCAAAGAUACAAAUUGUGCCAAAUAUCUAUCAGUUUUAUGAUGACAAGACCAUCAAACUUGUUUCAUUAAACACCCUCCCCCCUCUUACAACUGUCUAAACAAGAUUUUUCCAUUUAGUACCCUAUCAAUCCAGAGUUAUGAUUAUUCAGGAACUGAGGGGAUCUCUUGUAUUUAAAUAUUAAUGUUUGUGUAGUUAUUAAAGUAUUUGAUGAUUUGUCCAGGGGCACUGUAAAAUUAAAUAUAGCAUGUCAUUUAUGGUAAUACAGAGGAGAAUAAUAAAAAAUCUUUUUCAUUCUGGUUUUGUGUCUGGCUCUGCAUGUUACUUUUAUUGCUUAUUUGGUGUCUUAGGGUAUUGUGUGUUUUUAAACCCCUUUUAAGUGUAGGAUUUCAGAGCAUGUUGUUAGGAGCGUAUAAAAGAUUAUCUCCCAAGUUAUGACUUUGUGUUGUCGUGUGUGAGCUGUUGUCUGACAGUUAUACUGCUACAGGGGAAGACAGUUUUCCAAAAAAUACUUACCAUGUACUGUGUGUAGCAAUA